GGGCAUGAAUGCAGCAGGGGUUCGUGUGGCAGAGCGGGGAGGGCUGCGUCCCUGAUUGUUAACACGGAAAGGAGAUGGGAGAAGGAAGCAGAGGCGUGUCCCUGUUCAACAUGUUCAAAGUACCCUCUGGCUGUUUGAAUCCAUGAUGUGCAAUCAGAACAAUUAACUUCUCUACCACCUCUGUCCUGCGCUGCCUCGGGUCCCUUUCUGUGGAUUGCUCUUUCCCCUCGUUGGAAGGUACGUGGGAACCGUCUGAUCCUUCGGGUUGCAGCUUCCGGGCUUUGAUUGGGCUUCCUGCGUCAGCACUGAGAGUGGGCUUGGUAUUUCCCCAGUGCUCCAUGGGAUGGGACAGACUCCCACGGCUCUCCUUGUUCCCAGGGGUCCUGUCUGACCUGACGCUGCGGGAGUUGGGCCCAGGACUGGUGAAGCCCUCGCAGACCCUCUCCCUCACCUGCACUGUCUCCGGGGACCCUGUCACCAGCAGUUACUACUGGAAUCGGAUCCGUCAGCGUCCUGAGAAAGGCCCAAGACUGAACCAUCUGGACGGGGAGAGGGCACCUGUGCAGAAGACACGAGGAAGGUGGGGGCCCCAGAGCUGUCUCAACUUCCUCCUCAGACCUGGAUCCUGGGGCUCCUUCCCUGGUGCAGCUGCCAGCUAGACAAUUAGCCCCAUCUCUCUCCAUGGCCAGUGAGAUUUGACUCAGUGCUUUCUGUGUGAAUGAAACUUGCUAAUUUGUCAGAAGACAGCAUCAGCUCUUCACUCUGUGGGAUCCUUGGAUCUGUGCAGGAGUUGGGCUACUUAAUGCCCCUUCUCUAGAUUGCAUACGAAUAACCUAAUGCCCUCGAGGAUAAAAAUAUUCAUAAAAUUAUUUAAAAAAUACUCCUCUCUCUGGGGCUGGCCCCGUGGCCGAGUGGUUAAGUUCGCGCGCUCCGCUGCAGGCGGCCCAGUGUUUCCUCGGUUCGAAUCCUGGGCGCGGACAUGGCACUGCUCGUCAGACCACGCUGAGGCAGCGUCCCACAUGCCACAACUAGAGGAACCCACAACGAAGAAUACACAACUAUGUACCGGGGGGCUUUGGGGAGAAAAAGGAAAAAAAAAAUAAAAUCUUUAAAAAAAAUAAAAAAAAAAAAAAA
rnacentral:lncRNA from 1 species